rnacentral:rRNA from 1 species
GACGAACGCUGGCGGCGUGCCUAAUACAUGCAAGUCGAGCGAAACGGCUGAUGGGUGAGUAACGCGUGGGUAACCUGCCCUUAAGUCAGGGAUACCAUAUGGAAACAGAUGCUAAUACCGGCUACUAAAGGAUGGACGUGCGAUGGAUUAGCUAGUUGGUAAGGUAACGGCUUACCAAGGCGAUGAUGCAGAGCGGGGUUGAGAGGCUGAUCGGCCACAGUGGGACUGAGACACGGCCCAAACUCCUACGGGAGGCAGCAGUAGGGAAUAUUCCACAAUGGACGAAAGUCUGAUGGAGCAACGCCGCGUGAGUGAAGAAGGUUUUCGGAUUGUAAAGCUCUUUUGUUGGGGAAGCGUUAAUCAACCAGAAAGUCACGGCUAACUACGUGCCAGCAGCCGCGGUAAUAC